rnacentral:rRNA from 1 species
UACAGAGGUCUCAAGCGUUGUCCGGAUUUAUUGGGCGUAAAGAGCGUGUAGGCGGCUAGAUAGGUCCGUUGUGAAAACUCGAGGCUCAACCUCGAGACGUCGAUGGAAACCAUCUGGCUAGAGUCCGGAAGAGGAGAGUGGAAUUCCUGGUGUAGCGGUGAAAUGCGCAGAUAUCAGGAAGAACACCCCGUGGCGAAGGCGGCUCUCUGGUACGUGACUGACGCUGAGACGCGAAAGCGUGGGGAGCAAACAGG